CCCAGUCAAUCCAGCUCAGAAUAACAUUUUUUGCUCUGUGCAACUUUAAGUCCAAGAAGCAAUAAUAACUCAGUUGCAGUGAGCUCACCUACUACCCAGCUUCAAAUUUCAUUUGGAGGUGUCAUGGAGAUUAAACCAAAUUUAGAACCCCAAAUG